rnacentral:rRNA from 1 species
GGAUUAGGCAUGCAAGUCGAAUGGGUUCAGACCCAUGGCAGACGAGGUAGGAACACGUAGGUACGUACCCUAAAGUCAGGGAUAACCCGAUGAAAAUCGGAAUAAUACUUGAUGGUCCCUUCGGGGUAAAGUUUUAACGCUUUAGGAACGGCCUGCGGUCUAUCAGCUUGUUGGUAAGGUAACGGCUUACCAAGGCGACGACGGAUAGGGGAGGUGAGAGCCUGGCCCCCACCGAUGGAACUGCGACACGGUCCAUACUCCUACGGGAGGCUGCAGUCGAGAAUCUUCCGCAAUGGACGAAAGUCUGACGGAGCGACGCCGCGUGGUGGAUGAAGUCCUUAGGGACGUAAACACCUUUUAUGAGGGAGAAAGUAUAUUGAUGUUACCUCAUGAAUAAGGGGCUCCCAACUCUGUGCCAGCAGCCGCGGUAAUA